rnacentral:lncRNA from 1 species
UAGUGCUUGUAUGCCACGUUUUUGAACCUUUAGUGUGCUGGCACUCUAGGAAUCCUCCUUCAUCAAGCGUGGAUGAGCUCCACUGCACCUGCCCCUAUAUUCAUUGCCUUGGACUGUACUCAGUUUAGCUUCCCUCCCCUGCCCUCAUGCUCUAGCCAAAGUUGCAGCUGGUACGUGGUAGUUCAUGUAUCCAUGCUGGUAGUAGCUCUUCUCCUCAGCCACCAGUGCAGUUUACCCUUGUUCAUCACAGCCAACUCCUGUGUUUGGUGACCACAACAGCAAUCCUUCAACCUCACCAUGGCCAGGGUUCGUGGAGAUUGUCUCGGUAUUGUUGUGCCCGUUCCUUGUUCCUCACAGGUCAGUGAAGCUCCUAAAGUUGGUAUUCCUAACUCUACUAUUGUGUGUUGCAUAGAACGAGGUUGCCCGUCACAGCUUGGCGCCGUGGACAGCUUCCCCGCCGACGCAUCAACCCAUGUAGUCUCUGGUUGUUUUCACGCGAGCAAUGUGAUCUUGUUAGGUCGCUGAAGCUCUCCGUGUUCAUAGGUAGAGCUCUAUCGUGCGGAGACCGCGGGAUCGGGCUCGCCGGACCCAAGGUUCCGCCGCCACGAGGCGAUAUUGGUCUCUUCGAUCCGAUUAACCAAGGGGAAGUGAUGGGGUCGGUUUGGGUGACGGGUAGUUAUGCUCGUUCUCGUCGAGACGAUCGCCUCCGGCGGCUCUGCACGGUAUUUGGCCGGCGUUCGUCGGAGUGGGGUCGUGGCCAAGACGUUGUAAAUGAGCUGAAGCCGAGGGACCCGAGUGUCGUUGUCAGUCACACACACCAAUAGUGGUUGGGCUUCGGAUUGGUUUAAUUAGAACGUGGGGUUCUUUUGCAAAAUAGCAAGUGCGGGCACGCAAGCGUGGGUCGACUGUGCGCAGGGUAUUUGGGCUGGCUGAGUUUGUUUGGGUCCAACACUGUUACCAGUUUUGUUUUUUCUUUUAUCAGCAAAUUGUAAAUGGUGCAAAAAAUUGUAGGAAAAUACACAAAUAGUGGGACAAAUUUUAUUGGGAGUCAAAUAUCAGAAGUUCUCUGGUAAAGUUGGUUUUAGGAUUUUUAGAUCAGUUAGCAAAAAUUAAGUGAAUUUAAGGUGCUCGUGGAAGGCCUAUUUGAAUUUUAUAAAUAAGAGGAUAAGACCAAAAAUUGUAGAACUUUUUGGAGAGACUUGUUAUCAGAAUAUGAACUCUUGGGCAAAGUUUAGAACAAUUUGGAUAUGAUUUGCUUAGCGAAAUAAUAGUUGCCCAAAAAGGAAAAGGAUUUCACGUAUGAGAUGAGGACACCUAGUAGUUAAGUGAAGCGAUGAAGUUGCUUAAGAAGUUUUAAGCUUUUGGAUGAGAUCUAAGAUGGAUUAGUUCUCUGGUUUGCCUCAGUAAAUCCGAUUUGGCCACUAUUAGUAAGUGUUGGUGGUGUAGAACCAUGUGUAUACUUGUCAUGUGUUUUAGUUUGUGGUAUUUAUGUUCCCCAACUCUCCUUGUGCGAGUUUGCAUUUCAUGUCAUUACAUAAACAUACAUGUAUUUGUAAUUGACUUGUAGAACACCUAGAAGUGGUGUUUGAAGGAGGAGUCUACUCCAGUGGCUACUGAUCAGUUGGAGGAGCCAUCUAACCGGGUAUUGGGUGGAAAGGUCUUUAGCCUCUUCUCUGCAACAAAGGCAAGCCCCUAUGCAUGCAACCCCUUCCUUGUGUUUUUAAAUGAUUUUUACACACUUUAAGUCUAGUGAAAUGUGCAUUAGGUUUAUAGGAGUUUCUUGGAAACCCUUUGAUGCAUUGGCUACCUUGAAAUCCAUUCUUUUUAUAGAUACUUCUGGUGAAGUAUCAAAUAUUGUUUACAAAAAUUGCUUAGCCCUGUCUAGAGGUAAAUCUUGUGGAUAGAGUUUGUCCUUUGCAAUAAUGCCUAGCUCAGGGGUUAUCAUGAGGAAGGAUGACUUCUGCCUGCAAGAAUAUUUUCAUUGGGAGCAUGGUGGGAUCUUACUGCAAAGUUCCUUAUAAUGCUCUUUUCAUCCUAAGGAACACAAACAAUACUAAGAGUGGAAGUACUUAACUCGAGACUUGGGCUAGGAACAGGUGAUGCUCCACCCAGGUUAAAUAAGGAUUGGAUGCGUAUGUAGGCCUGUAUGAUCAAGGACUAUCUUAACUGGUCACAUGCGCUGGAUAUGGGACAGGGUAAGCUUGAACCUGGCUAUUCCAUACAUGAAAAGACAAUCGCGCACUGGGAGUGGAGAGAUGGCGAGAGUGACACAUACCCUCCUGGCAAAGGACCGCCUAAAAGGGGUGGUGUGCUCUCGGGUGGCGCGGACCUGUUCAUGCAGUGGAGGAUCCAUGGGAAUGGUAGACAUAUGCAAGAGUUACGAGAAACAAAUGUCAUGUGGUUAGAGAUCCUCAGCUGAGUAAAUCGAUUCGAAUCGCCGUAAUAUCCCCGGACAGUGGAGACUUGAUCUCUGACCUACAACCAAGGUCAGGAUGUAAACAUUAUGAAUAAAAAUAAUGUUGUAUUGAUGAGAUGGUGAAAUUAGACUAGAUGCAACUAGAGUCUAUUAAUAUUUAAUUCGGCGUUAAAAUAUUGAAAGUAAGGACUCACUUUAGUAAGCUAUUUCUGCAAAAGUAUCUAAGUUGAUUUUUGCUCAAGCCUUUCCUUGAUUCCUAUUUAACCAGCAUAUCCUUGAGAGUCUUUUUCCUUAGUCGGGUAAGACUUGCAAAAGUACACUCCGUACUCAGGGUUUUCGGACCCAUGUUGUUGUAGGUGAUGAGGAGUACUCUAAGUGUUCCUGUGGCUGGAGGGCGUUUCCAGUUCUGGAGGAAGAUUAGCUAGGCUUGUGUAUAAGCUUUGGAGGGUUCCUACCUUCUUGCUAUUGUAAUAAGUUAUGCACUUUGAGUAUAUCAGGACUUGUAAUAAAUGUAACUCUUCCUAUGUAAUAAACUUCCGUUUUAGAAAUGAAAAUAAUGUUUUAUAAAGUAUUCCGCUCUUAUCUCCGAAGUGUGUGUGUAUCGAAUGUCAUUACUGUAAUAUGCAUGUAUGGUGGGAGAUCCUUGGGAUGAUGAGUUCAAGUUAUUGAACUCGUGAUAGUCUUGUUAAGUUACAUGGUACACGUGCAUAGCCAUCUGAGGCCAUCAAGGAAAGGAUUGGUGCAUGUGGGCCCGAUAACUUGGGAGGGCUGUCACAGCGUGAUAUCGGAGCGAUGCCCCAUUAUCAUGGAUAUUAAAGUAAUCCUUUGAUAGACUUCAAAAGGAUUUUGAGUCCAAAUUAUUUUGGAAAAACUUAAGAAUGAAUAAGCAAAUCCUGAUAGUCGAAGUGCAAAUAGUAUAUGGGUAAGUUAAGGACUAUAAGGUGGCUUAGUUUAGGAUGCUAACCACUAACCCGCAACUAUAAUGCAAUUUUCUGCAGGUACACUAACUAAACCCUAGGAAAGUGCGACUAGUAUUCCAUGACGGAGUGAGUAGGUAUGCCACCGCCAUAGAACGUGAAAGCCACUAUAUGUUGGCAAGAAUUGCGAGGACGAAUUGGACGAGCAUGCAUCAUGACAUACAAUUUUAAGUUAAGCCUCCUAUGUAGUAGCUUAGUACAUGUUUUAUCCAUCAUAUUCAUGCUACCUAUCUUUGUUUUUCUAUACUACCUUUUCCUAUUCGUGAAGCCUUGAAACCCAGUUCAUUUGGUGGACCUGUAGUUUAUAAGGUACAGUUGCCAAAGAAUUUUUCAACAGUGCACAACAUGUUCUACAUGUCCCAGUUAAAGAAAUGUCUUCGAGUCCCCAAGCAUGUUAUUGAGAUUUCAGAUGUUAACCUUGGACCAGAUUUAACCUACUUGGAAUAUCCCAUAAAGGUGUUGGAUCUAAAGGAUCGGGUCACUUGAAGAAAAACUAUCAAGUUUUACUAGAUAUAGUGGAACCAACACCCGGAAGAUAAACCAUAUGGGAAUCAAAGGAGUAUUUAGAAAAACAUUUUCCUGAGUUCUUAGUUUCUUCUAAGCCCUAGGUUUUAUGUAGUUGUUUUUUAUGUGAACCAACAAGGGUACACCCCUGUCUUGUAGGAGUAAUGGGGAAAGAAACUGGUGACGCGUUUCCUUUUCCAUUAUCUAGCCUAGAGUUUUAAUCUGGGACGAGACUUCUUUUUAGGGGGAAAGACUGUAACACCCCUGGUGUUACGAUAACUAAAAGCAGUGUGGCUCCAAUUCACUGCUCUCCGGUAGACAUGGAAAUGGUAACCCAGAUUUUUCCUUGCAAAGUUGAAACACUUCCUCUUAAAUAUCUCGGGCUGCCUCUUUCCCUCAGGAAGCUAAGCAAGGAGCAGCUGCAACCGCUAAUCGAUAGCCUUGCUGACCUCUUACCUAAUUGGAAGCGACCUGAUGACUCGAGCUGCAAGCAUCAGUGCAACAUGUCUCACGCAACAGUUAUAUACACCCAUGGCAUUGAUUACCUAAGUGGCUAUCAAAGCCAUUGACAAGAUAGACGUGGCUUCUUGGAAAGGACGUAAGGAUGUGCCGGUGGCCACUGCUAGUCGCUGGGCAAAGUGACACGCCAAGAGCUGGUGGCUUGGCAUCUCAGAUUACAAAAGCUGAAUGGCCCUUCGGUUAGAUGGCUGUGGUUGGAAAAAACGGAUCCCUCGAAGUCUUGGGCUGAUUUACCUCUCCAGAGUUCCAGCAUUCUGAAAUCUAUCCUCUCUACAGCUUUGAUUACAGAAAUUGGUGAUGGUCGUAACACCUUAUUUUGGAGGGACAGAUGGUUGAUGGGGUUGAGGAUUGAGGAUCUAACUCCUCAUAUUUUUGCCAUCGUCCCGACCAGGAUUACCAAUAGGAGAACGGUGGCUGAGGGUAUCGUGGAGAUGGCUUGGAUUCGGGACCUGAGAGGCACCAUCACUUGGGAUAUCCUCUCGGAUUUUUUAACUCUUAGUGAAGUCAUUGCAGAUUACUCCAUUAAUGUUGGAGUGCCAGACAAGCAUAUCUGGAAAUUCUCCCCGACAGGCCAAUACUCUUCAAAGUCGGCUUAUGAUAUGUUAUUUCUUGGUUCCACUUCCUUGAGAGCAUAUGAGCGCAUUUGGGAAUCUUGGGCACCUUCAAAGUGCAGUUUCUUCCUUUGGCUUGUCAUGCACAACAGAUGCUGGACCGCAGACCGUCUUGCUAGAAGGGGGCUGCCCCACCCCAGUGUGUGCCCCCUUUGCGACCAAGAAGAGGAAACAAUACAACAUCUUCUCAUCUCUUGCGUCUUUGCACGACAGUUCUGGUAUUCCUUGUUAAGCAGGUCUGGGUUGCCUAACCUUUCACCAGAUAAUGCUAGUUGCAGCCUUGAUGACUGGUGGAGCAGAGCUGUGGAGAAGAUUCCCCGUGACCUCCAAUCCGGCUUCAAUUCUCUAGUUAUUCUUGGCGCUUGGUGCCUAUGGCGUCAUCGCAACGACUGCGUGUUUAAUGGGAGAUCGCCAAGUCUGGCGAGUGCUCUCACCCUCGCUGGCGAUGAGCUCAGGAUGUGGUGUAGUGCCGGGGCAAAAGGGCUGAACCUGCUUUCAACUCUUAUGUUUAUGCUUGACCCAGGGGGAUAGACUAGUGGCUUGUUCAGAGUGGUUGUGUGUGGUUUCUGUGUUGCGUCUUGUGUCUUGUUGUGUCAUGUGUGUGUGUGUCGUGUCAGGUGUGUGUCGGGUGUGGUGUGUUGUACCUUCUUCUAUCUAUUAAUGGAAUGAUACGCAGAUCUCCUGCGUGUUCGAGAAAACGAUAACUAAAAAUUUUGCAUGUCAUCGUCUGCACUUGCAUUAACUGCUUGAUACACCUAGAAUGCAUUCACUAGGUCAAAAAAUUUCAAUGAAUAUGGUGUUGUGUAUUAGAGUAUAGGGCUCAGAUUAAGAACUUUGCUUAAGACAUGGGAAGAGAAGUCGUCUCUUGAGCAAGUAAUAAGUUGGCUUGGAAUUUAAAGUAUUAAAGGUAAGUCUUAGGACCAAGAGCAACUUUGCUUUCAAAGGUGGGUUAAGUGGAAGAAUUAAUUGAGGAACUAGAUUAACCUUAAAAACCUUAAGUGAGAUUUCAAAACCUUGCUUGGAAUUGUGGAUAAACAAAACAACUCCUAAACCAAGAACACUUUGGACAUGAGCUUCAUAUACUAGAGUUGGAUUUGAGAUUAAGGAGUCACUUGUCUUUUAGGAGUAUGGAUUGAGUUCGUAAAUCAAUAGAUGAGGAGUUACAUUUGAAACCCUAAACUAGCGCAAAAGUGUAAUUUAAAAUUUAGAAAGGACUGGUUAAAAGUUCAUAUACCAAAGUUGUAGAGCUUGGAAAAGUGAAUAACUUUAUUAUUUGAAGAUUCCCAAGUUGUCUGGAAGAUUUUGGAGUUAAGUACAAAAUUCAGUUUUGGGUUCAUUUUGAAAUUGCUUAAAAUAAUAUAAACUAGUCAAAUUUGAACCCUUGUAACUUCUAAUAUAAAACCAUUUAGAAGAUGGUCAUUAUAACAAAGUUAUAGGGCCACAUGAGGAGUAUAAGUUUGGUUGAGUCACCUAGCCCUAAAGCUAUUUGGAACAUGGAGAAAAACUAAUCCAAAGUAGAGCUAACAGAGUUUCUGGAUUUCAGACUUGGUAGAAUUCAGAGUCUGAAUUUCAGCAAUUGGAACAAAUUUUGAGCUAUUGUAGUUUGGAAUGCAAGAGGUUUUGGUUAAUGACCACUAUAGCAAACUUGUAGAAUAAGUAUAAGAGAACAACUGUUAUUAAGUGUCACAGCCCUGGAACUAUAUACAACUAGGAGAAAAAGAUGAUCCAAAGUGAGGCUGUCAGACUUUUGAAUUUCAAAUUGUGAACAGUGUCUGAAAUCAGAUUUCUGUCUUUUGAUAGCUGUUUCAGAGCCUGUUUGUGGCUGAUCUAGAAGUUUUGGUCUGUGAUGUUUAUGAAGGAAGUAAAUACCAUAUGAUAGUGAACAAAUCUAAUAAAGUGGCUUUGACUUGAUUCCACACAGAAAAUGGAGAAAAACUUGUUCAAAGUUGGACUGGCAGACAGUGUUUCAACUGAACUUAGUUCAGUUGAGAACUGAAAUUGCAGCAGGAUGCCUAGUUUAGAGAUCAUUUGUGAUUAAUUCAGGUGGUUUUAGACUAAGGUUUCCAUAGUUAAGUAGAGACCAUAGUAAAUAGAACAAGUCUCCUUAAAUAAGUAUAGCUUGGUGCUACAAAAAAAAGGAGUAACGGCUGCUUAAUGUGGUACUGUGUUAGGUGGCUGAAACUGAAUUAUAUUCAGUUAUUGAAAACGGAAUUUCAGUGAAAGGUGCUGAGUUUGGAUCCCAUUUGUGACUGAUUUGUGUUGAUUUAGACUAAGGGUUCCAUAGCAAAGUUGUAGACCAUAGUAAAGUGAACAAGUUUGCAAAAGUAGAUGGACCUGGUUUCACAUAAAAAGUGGAGUAAAGUGUGCUCAAAGUUGGUUUAUCAGGUGUUGGGAUUCAGACAGUAUAAAACCAAAGUCUGAAUAUGUGUGUUUUUACCCAACUUUGGGGCCUUGGCGUAAUAAAUCCAAAGAGAUUUGGGUUAAGAGUCUGUAUCAAAAUUAGAGACCAGUUGUAGAUAAACAUGUUUUGUGCAAAGAGUGGGCUUGCUACUGUAUGGAAUUUAGAGAAUAGCCUGCUACAAAAUCCUCUGUCAGACUUAUUGGGGGUGUUUCAGUGCACUGAAAAUCUGUUUUAGGGUUGUGUUUAAUUAACUUUAGAGCUCUCUAGGAAUUGAUCCAUGGGGUUGUGAGCUAUACUCUAUAUAAAAAGUGGAAUACCUUAUGUUGGUGUAUAUGUUUUGUGUGGUGAGAGUGGCUUGGUGCUACAUGAAAAAGGGAGUAAAAUACCCCCAAUAUUCCUCUGUCAGUGAGAAUGAAGGAUGGGGAGGUGUGUUGGCUCAGUUCAGUAACUGAAACUAGUUUCUAUGUUUUCUGUCAGGAAUUGGGGAUAUUUUGUACCUAAUCUAAGGAGUUUUAAGCUAAAGUCCCUAUAACCAAAUGAAGUCCAUAGAGUAGUGAACAAAUUCUCUUAGGAAGGUGGGACUUGGUGCGGUACAAAACUGGGAGUAAGUUGUGUCAGAAAGUUCCCUGUCAAGUUGAGGUUGUGUGUUCAGUAACUGAAAAUUGGAGGUUUCAGUGAUCUGUUGCUGUGUUUGGGGCACCAUAACUUUUGAUCCAGGGUCAUUUGGCCUUGGGUUUUUGCAACAAGCUUGUGGAGCUAUGUUGGAUGGACAAAUUCCUUGAGGUGAGGGAGACUUGGAUACACAGAACUGGGAGAAUAGGUGUCCAUAUUGUUCUCUGCAGUUGUGCUGUAUUUUGUGACUGAAACAGAAUGUAGUGAGAUUUGGCUAAGUUUGGAUCACCACAACCUUUGUUCUAUAUGAUUUCAGCCAUGAGUUUCUAUGCAAAACAGGUAGAGAUAUCCAUGGAGAAUAACUUUUGUGAAGGGAUAGUGGUAUGUUACUAAAAGAAAUUGGGCGAUCAAUGCAGCUAAACAAGGAAAUGUGCAAGGGGGCAGUGUUGACUGAUUCAUUAAAUUCAGAGGACUGAAACUGUGUUUCAGUGAUGUGUGGCCAACUUCAGAGCCACAUAACUUGUGAUCUACAUAUUUUGGGUCCUGGAUUUUUAUAGUAAACCUGAAGAGCCAUGGUUGGGGAACAAAUUUGUUUAGGAAUGCUUGAGCUAUCCUUGUUUGGAAUAGAGAGAAAAAGGUGUUCGAACUAUGUCUAUCAGGCAUGGAAAUGCAAACCUGAAUCAGUCACUAUGGAUUUGGUUCAGUAUUUUUCUCCUGACUUUGGAGCUGUUUAGUGUCAGAUCUAAGGAUUAUAAGGCUUUAGUCUGUAUGGAAGAUUGAUAGUGAGUUAGUUGGUGAACAAGGUUCCUUAAGGUCGGUUCCCCUGUUGUUGCUUGGAGCUGGGAAAAAUAAAGGGGUGAAGCUGUGAACUCAGUCAAACAGCAGCAGUUCAGUGUACUCCAAAAAUAUCUGAAGGAGAUCUUUUUAUCCCUGCUGGCUGCACUAGCGUGUAGAAAUGAAGAUAAGGUUGUAGUGAAUAGUUGAAGGUCCUAGAGCUCUCACUCCCCACUAAAAUAUCCAAUUUGGACUGCAAUGGGGGGGGGGGCAGUGGGCAGUAGAAAUCUUAUCUAUUUUGUCUACUACCUACAGAUUUGGACAAAGUGAUAUUUAUGUGUGGGAGCUGAGCCAACAAGGUGUAGUGCUUGUAUGCCACGUUUUUGAACCUUUAGUGUGCUGGCACUCUAGGAAUCCUCCUUCAUCAAGCGUGGAUGAGCUCCACUGCACCUGCCCCUAUAUUCAUUGCCUUGGGCUGUACUCAGUUUAGCUUCCCUCCCCUGCCCUCAUGCUCUAGCCAAAGUUGCAGCUGGUACGUGGUAGUUCAUGUAUCCAUGCUGGUAGUAGCUCUUCUCCUCAGCCACCAGUGCAGUUUACCCUUGUUCAUCACAGCCAACUCCUGUGUUUGGUGACCACAAUAGCAAUCCUUUAACCUCACCAUGGCCAGGGUUCGUGGAGAUUGUCUCGGCAUUGUUGUGCCCGUUCCUUGUUCCACACAUGUCAGUGAAGCUUCUAAAGUUGGUAUUCCUAACUCUACUAUUGUGUGUUGAAUAGAACGAGGUUGCGCCAUCACAGCUUGGCGCCGUGGACAGCUUCCCCGCCGACCCAUCAACCCAUGUUGUCUCUGGUUGUUUUCACGCGAGCACUGUCAUCUUGUUAGGUCGCUGAAGCUCUCCGUGUUCAUAGUUAGAGCUCUAUCGUGCGGAGACCGCGGGAUCGGGCUCGCCGGACCCAAGGUUCCGCCCCACCGUGGCCAGAGUCGAUAUUGGUCUCUUCGAUCCGAUUAACCAAGGGAAAGUGAUGGGGUCGGUUUGGGUGACGGGUAGUUAUGCUCGUUCUCGUCGAGACGAUCGCCUCCGGCGGCUCUGCACGGUAUUUGGCCGGCGUUAGUCGGAGUGGGGUCGUGGCCAAGAGGUUGUAAAUGAGCUGAAGCCGAGGGACCCGAGCGUCGUUGUCAGUCACACAGACCAAUAUUGGUUGGGCUUCGGAUUGGUUUAAUUAGAACGUGGGGUUCUUUUUGCAAACUAGCAAGUGCGGGCACGCAAGCGUGGGCCGACUGUGCGCAGGGUAUUUGGGCUGGCUGAGUUUGUUUGGGUCCAACACUGUUACCAGUUUUGUUUUUUUGUUUUAUCAGCAAACUGUAAAUGGUGCUAAAAAUUGUAGGAAAAUCCAAAAAUAGUGGGACAAAUUUUAUUGGGUGUCAAAAAUCAGAAGCUCUCUGGUAAAGUUGGUUUGAGGAUUUUUAGAGACUUGUUAUCAGAAUAUGUACUCUUGGGCAAAGUUUGGAACAAUUUGGAUAUGAUUUGCUUAGCGAAAUAAUAGUUGCCCAAAAAGGAAAAGGAUUUCACCUAUGAAAUGAGGACACCUAGUAGUUAAGUGAAGCGAUGAAGUUGCUUAAGAAGUUUUAAGAUUUUGGAUGAGAUCUAAGAUGGAUUAGUUCUCUGGUUUGCCUCAGUAAAUCCGAUUUGGCCACUAUUAGUAAGUGUUGGUGGUGUAGAACCAUGUGUAUACUUGUCAUGUGUUUUAGUUUGUGGUAUUUAUGUUCCCCACGUCUACUUAUGCGAGUUUGCAUUUCAUGUCAUUACAUAAACAUACAUGUAUUUGUAAUUGACUUGUAGAACACCUAGAAGAAGUGGUGUUUGAAGGAGGAGUCUACUCCAGUGGCUACUGAUCAAUUGGAGGAGCCAUCUAACCGGGUAUUGGGUGGAAAGGUCUUUAGCCUCUUCUCUGCAACAAAGGUUAACCCCGGUGCAUGCAACCCCUUCCUUGUGCUUUUAAAUGAUUUUUACACACUUUAAGUCUAGCGAAAUGUGCAUUAGGUUUAUAGGAGUUUCUUGGAAACCAUUUGAUGCAUUGGCUACCUUGAAAUCCAUUCCUUUUAUAGAUACUUCUGGUGAAGUAUCAAAUAUUGUUUACAAAAAUUGCUUAGCCCUGCCUAGAGGUAAAUCUUGCGGAUAGAGUUUGUCCUUUGCACUAAUGCCUAGCUCGGGGUUAUCCUAAAGAAGGAUGACUUCUGCCUGCAAGAAUAUUUUCAUUGGGAGCAUGGUGGGAUCUUACUGCAAAGUUCCCUAUAAUGCUCUUUUCAUCCUAAGGAACACAAACAAUCCUAAGGGUGGAAGUACUUAACUCGAGACUUGGGCUAGAACAGGUGAUGCUCCAUCCAGGUUAAAUAAGGAUUAGAUGCGUAUGUAGGCCUGUAUGAUCAAGGACUAUCUUAACUGGCCACAUGCCCUGGAUAUGGGACAGGGUAAGCUUGAACCCGACUAUUCCAUAUAUGAAAAGACAAUCGCGCACUAGGAGUGGAGAGAUGGCGAGAGUGGCACGUACCCUCCUGGCAAAGGACCACCUAAAAGGGGUGGUGUGCUCUCGGGUGGCGCGGACCUGUUCAUGCAGUGGAGGAUUCGUGGGAAUGGUAGACAUAUACAAGAGUUACGAGAAACAUAUGUCGUGUGGUUAGAGAUCCUCAAUUGAGUAAAUCGAUUCGAAUCGUCGUUAUAUCCCCGGACAGUGGAGACUUGAUCUCUGACCUGCAACCUAGGUUAGGAUGUAAACAUUAUGAAUAAAAAUAAUGUUGUAUUGAUGAGAUGGUGAAAUUAGACUAGAUGCAACUAGAGUCUAUUAAUAUUUAAUUCGGCGUUAAAAUAUUGAAAGUAAGGACUCACUUUAGUAAGCUAUUUCUGCAAAAGUAACUAAGUUGAUUCUUGCUCAAGCCUUUCCUUGAUUCCUAUUUAACCAACAUAUCCUUGAUUCUUUUUCCUUAGUCGGGUAAGACUUUCGCAAGUACACUCCAUACUCAGGGUUUUCGAACCCAUGUUGUUGUAGGUGAUGAGGAGUACCCUAAGUGUUCCUGUGGCUGGAGGGCAUUUCCAGUUCUGGAGGAAGAUUAGCUAGGCUUGUGUAUAAGCGUCGGAGGGUUCCUACCUUCUUGCUAUUGUAAUAAUUUAUGCACUUUGAGUAUAUCAGGACUUGUAAUAAAUGUAACUCUUCUUAUGUAAUAAACUUCAGUUUUAGAAAUGAAAAGAAUGUUUUAUAAAGUAUUUCGCUCUUAUCUCCGAAGUGUGCGUGUAUCGAAUGUGAUUACUGUAAUAUGCAUGUAUGGUGGGAAAUCCUUGGGAUGAUGAGUUCAAGUUAUUGAACUCGUGAUAGUCUUGUUAAGUUACAUGGAACACAUGCAUAGCCAUCUGAGGCC